AGCUGUGGUGAAUAAGAAAAACGCAACUUCAAAGUGUUCAUGAAAUUCACUUUCGUUUUGAUCACAAAAGAUCGUAUAGCGUAUCAAAAUAUUCAUAAAUAUUAAGUGUUGUGUUUUUUUAAACAUCCUGUAUAAGUGCGGUCAUUAUAUCGAUGAAAAGCCAUUUCAAGCUAGAAGAUUAAAUUUUAGCAGAUCAAAGAUGUUUGGAGUUGUUAAGAUCGUUGUUAUAUUCCUAGUCUUUGCAGAUAAUGCGGUUGAAUGUUUUAAACUUGGUCAGCUUUGCAGCUCAAAUGGUAGAAAUUUAAUCCGUGAAUGUGACAGUCAGGGUUGUGGUGAUUUCGGAACACCAAGAGGUUCUCGUACACACAAUGGUGUCGACAUAAUUUGCAAACCAG
rnacentral:lncRNA from 1 species